AUGAGAGAAAAAAAAGAUCUAUGCAUACACCUCAGAGGCACCAACUACUUUUGGCUAACAGAUUGAUGCUGCUCUACUGCAACUGGUCUUUUUUCAAGAAGUACUGAGGACCCUUCAACCCUGAGUGAACUGAACUGAGAUGCAGGGAAAGGAAACCUGGGGCAUCUGUGGGUGGUCAUGCAAACUGCAGGCACGCAAAAUCAGGACUCUGUUGAUCAAAUCCAGCGCUGGACUCAUCUUUGGAAGCUCCUAGGUGCUUUAAAUCUGGGAUUUCAACAUAUUUCCAGCAAGAUAUUAUGCAGCAGGAAUCUGCAAAAUGAAGCCAUGCCCUGAUCCUGGAGGGGGAAGAUGGAUGCUGUGCUCAGGUCCUAGGUCUGUCUGCCAGAGGGGACCGUGCUGGUUGCAGUGGAGACUGAGGCAGGUGUUAUUUCUGCCACCAGGAAAAGAAGUAAGAGGAGCAGAGGAAAAAUAGGCACCCACUGAGCACAUUGCACCUCCAGUGCUGGACCAAGCGUCGCACCCAGCAGAGCUCCACAAGUGCCAAACCCAGUGCUGGACCUGGAGCUGGGAGCAUCAGAGCUGGCCCCUGCGGCACCGACCAGCCCUGCAAGCACUACUGCAAGAUCAAAUAGCCCAGAUGAUGAUGGUGAAAGCAGCAGAAGAUGUGAGGAAUUUUCCCCAGUCACGGGACUUUCUCAGCAGCACGCAUUAUUCAGUCUUUCCAUUUGUAAUCAUCACAGAGUCAGUCUUUCCUUACAAGUAAGAAAGGCACACUCCUGCUGACAUUGAAAGCACUGGCAAAGGGCUGUAGACAUCAGUGGGAAAAGACCAGGCCUUAAUGGGUUUUGCCUCUUAAGUAAAACCUCAAAUUGAAUUCUUUUCUUCUUGCGUAUAACCCUCUCAGUAAUCUGAAAACAUUUAUUUCUGUGACCAUGGUUCUGGACAAUAAAUAAUUCUUCCCUUUGAUGGGGAGAGAAUUGAUGUUCAUAGUCCGUAGAGGUGCCAUUCUUUUUUUGAAAAAGGAAGUCUCAAAGGCAGUUUUUCUAAGUGGUUUGUGCAAUCUUUCCAGAUGCUGAGUACCUCCUGGGCAGCCCAACUGCACUCAGGUGUCACCUCACUCAGGGGCUGCUCUGCCACUGUUUCUAGGUGGUCGUUAAAAAACAGCUCAGCAUGUACGUGUAGCUUGGUUAAAACUCAUCUGUUGUGAAAUAGCGUGGUUUUCUUGUUUUGCACAAUACUCCUCUGUGGGUUUUGGGGCUUUACAGCAAAAUAUAGACUCAGAUAUUCUCAUGGCAUAUUAAAUACUGUUGUAAUGUACCCAAAGACUCCCCCCACCAGCGACCUGGUGUGAUGGACUCUAAAAGGAGGUGAUGGCACAUUACCUUCACCAGGUCUUUAUAGGAGAGCUCUGUGUAUUGCCCUGACUUUACUGCCUUCUGCUAGUGCAGCCAACUCUAUGGGGUAGUACAAGUAUUGCAGCUCCAUCAGCAGCAAAAAGGAGGAGAAAAGUUGCAAAGAAGGAGUCUGACCCUCUAGCUCUGGCACCAGCCGAUGUUUUUGGUAAUGUCGGGUGUGGUGGAGGUCCAGCCUCGCACACUGCUUCAUCAUCGCUGCUUGCCCACGGAUGGUGACUCUGUGCUUACCAUUAGAGAUCAGCCCUGAAGGUUUCCAGGUUGUAAUGAACUCUAGGCUGAAAGAACUCAAGUCUCCAAGGAGAUAAUCUACAGGUGUGUUACCUGGUGAAGAAUACCACUGCUCUUUAAAUAAUUUAAAGAAUAAUUAAAUUUUCUGUAUGUAACCAGAUCGGUAGCUCUCCAAAAACUGGUCAUCACAUGCAUUAUUUAAAAAAAAAAAAAAAUCCUGAAAUUAAUUAUGCA